CCAGUGGGAGCCUAGUGCAAGGUGGAGCUCCAGGGGCAAAUAGAUCAGGCACAAGAUAGGAGACUCAGGAGAAUGGCAGGUGAUAUCAUAAGGUGAAGUUCCUAUUAUUGUAGGAGGCUGCCCCGGACAGUUCUCAGGUCAGGUGGGUCAUAGCACACAAUAGAGAUGGGAUCGAGCGGUCUAGCUCAACUCCCAUGUUUGUCUGUCCAUGAGUAGUAGGUGUAUGCCCCAGGGUAUGAGGGUG
rnacentral:lncRNA from 1 species